rnacentral:rRNA from 1 species
UAAUACGUAGGGUGCAAGCGUUGUCCGGAAUUAUUGGGCGUAAAGAGCUCGUAGGCGGCUUGUCGCGUCGGCUGUGAAAACCUGGGGCUCAACCCCGGGCCUGCAGCCGAUACGGGCAAGCUAGAAUUCGGUAGGGGAGACUGGAAUUCCUGGUGUAGCGGUGAAAUGCGCAGAUAUCAGGAGGAACACCGGUGGCGAAGGCGGGUCUCUGGGCCGAAAUUGACGCUGAGGAGCGAAAGCGUGGGGAGCAAACAGGAUUAGAUACCCUGGUAGUCCACGCCGUAAACGUUGGGCGCUAGGUGUGGGCCACAUUCCACGUGGUCUGUGCCGCAGCUAACGCAUUAAGCGCCCCGCCUGGGGAGUACGGCCGCAAGGCUA